rnacentral:lncRNA from 1 species
CCGUUCUCGCCAUUUGACACGGUGGUUCCAGCAGUGUGUCAGUGUCCCAAGGGUGGGCCCUCUUUGGGCCCUGCCCGAGCCCUUUGCAGGCUUGCCGUGCAUGGCAGUCCACAAGGCGGCACACCCAGUAUUACACGUGCAGGAAAAGGCAAUCCAAAUGCAAACGGCCUUGAAGUCUGCUGCAGGUAACUAACAGACAGUAAUAAUUAGAUUUUACACUAUAUCCUCCUCCUGAGCGUUAGAGAGAGACGGUGUUCACUAAAAAUACCUGAUACUAGACUGUAUGUGUGGAUGAUUGACGGUGCUAGUCCUGAACCAGCACAAUCUGUCCUAAGUAGGACAGUAUAGGGUUAGGGAUCAUACCGAGCAAAACACACUUAGUGAUAUGUAAUGUUACUUAGUGAUAUGUAAUGCUGAUUCGUACUUAAGAAUAUUAUAAAGUGAAGUACUACUCAUUCACGUGGAAGACUCCCCCUCUAAUCGUCAUAGACAGCACACGUUUUUACACUCGAGAACUCAACCGGCCUGCUACUACCCACGCAUAGGAAUGGUGAGGGGAUUGCGGGACACCUUCGUCAUCCCCAGUAGUGCAGGAUUCCCCCCCAAGGAGGAUUCGGGGACCUCAACGACCAUCACCUGUGUUAUUUGGUUAGUCUUAUGGGAGCACCACACCGUCUAUUACAGAGGGAUAGGCCCGGGCCCGGGCUUCCUCAGGUGCAGUGCACCCAGCCUGCCCUGCCAGGGAGUUGGGUUCACAAGGAGAAGAUCCUAAACAAAACAGAACAUACAGUGGCACCCAGGCUGUGCAACGUCCUGGCCAGAGUGAAGCACGCAAUGUCACCGUCUUAUUACAUGAGGUCUGGUCUGGGUUGACACUACUGUAGUUAGCGGUUUAAGGUCCUGGUUUCGAUUCCCGGGGAGACCCCCAAAUUAGUCGGGAACGCGAGAUUAUGGCUAGCUGCUGAGAUGUGGAGUUGAGUUCACAGUUGAUGGACCAGAGUCGCACGCUGGAUUGGUGGUGACUGCCGAACCCUGAAUUCGGUGCCACAGGAUGUAUGUGUUGAACAGGGUUGUAAGCAGGGUGGCGGCAAACACAACUGGUGGUUAGGGGGCCAGUCCUUCCUUUCUGGUCAUGAUACAUGCUCAGUUGUGAAGUUUUACUAAACUACAUAAGCCAAAGGCCAUAUCCUUGACAUCGCAGAUGACAACUUUAAUUGAUGGGGUGGGUAGUUGUUGGUUAGUUGGUUCGUUGACGCCUGACAUCGUUGAUGGCUGCUUCCUGAAAGGCCAUCAUGAGGUUCUCCACUAUAUGAAAAUCAUAUUGCCUCGACCUCACCACCGACAGACUGCACAUCCAAGUAAAAUGCAAUCGCACGUAUGCAUUCGCAUUGCUUACCCGGCGGGAGCCUGCAUGCCCGCGUCAAACGCACCAGCGAGUUAUGAGAACGGGCUAACAAGGUUGGGAGUUGGUUAAGAGAAAGCGAUGUGUAUUAUGUAUCGGCCCGCCACAACCACGAUCCAUAUUUGCCCGCACAGCGCUCACGUGCACUCACCACCCUUGACCGCCUUGAGGAUACAUGGCCCGGCGCUGUUUUGUUCAUUGUUCCAUCGCCGCCGCUGCCACCGCUCCCAAGACCGCCCCCAUCAGAAAUGGCAUGGCGGAGCUGACAUCCUUCGAAACGAGUAUGUUAGAUGCGCAUAGAAAAUGAUUCGAUGGUGAAGCAGAUGAAACCCGAAUAUCGGUGCGGAUCAGCUUCGGGAACCGGAGGAUGCAUUGCAUCUCUGGAAGCCACACGAAAGUGUUUCCUGCGGACCAUUUGCAACAAGUACCGGUCCCAGAAACUUUCUGGGACUUUAAGUGCAAUGCGCGGAAGCUGGGUAAAACAAUCUAGGUAAUAGAGUGUUUCCA